GCCUAGUUAGCUUAGUUGGUAGUGCGUCUACCUCGUAAGCGCUAGGCCGCGGGUUCGAUUCCCGCCCGGGGCG
rfam:Asian citrus Psyllid, Diaphorina citri - Florida Strain, whole genome shotgun sequence.